CACCCGCAGCUCGAGUGGUGGUCACUUUUAUGGAGCCUAAAGCGUUCGUAGCCGGCUCUGUAAAUCUUCAGACAAAUUCUUCUGCUUAACGGAAGAUCCUCUGGAGAGACUGCAGAGCUAGGGACCGGGUGAGGUUGAAUGUACUUCUGGGGUAGGGGUAAAAUCCUGUAAUCCUGGAAGGACGACCGGUGGCGAAGGCGUUCAACUAGAACGGAUCCGACGGUGAGUAACGAUGGCUAGGGGAGCAAACCGG
rnacentral:rRNA from 1 species